rnacentral:rRNA from 1 species
UACGUAGGGUGCGAGCGUUAAUCGGAAUUACUGGGCGUAAAGCGUGCGCAGGCGGUUUUGUAAGACAGAGGUGAAAUCCCCGGGCUCAACCUGGGAACUGCCUUUGUGACUGCAAGGCUUGAGUGCGGCAGAGGGGGAUGGAAUUCCUGGUGUAGCAGUGAAAUGCGUAGAUAUCAGGAGGAAUACCGAUGGCGAAGGCAGGUCUCUGGGCUGACACUGACGCUCAUGCACGAAAGCGUGGGGAGCAAACAGG